UGGGGACCAGAAAACGCUGAUGGAAGAGUC
rnacentral:piRNA from 1 species